GAUGAACGCUAGCUACAGGCUUAACACAUGCAAGUCGAGGGGAAACGACAUCGAAAGCUUGCUUUUGAUGGGAGUCGACCGGCGCACGGGUGAGUAACGAGUAUCCAACCUGACUAUCACUUGGGGAUAACCUUGCGAAAGUAAGACUAAUACCCAAUGAUAUCUCUAGAAGACAUCGGAAAGAGAUUAAAGAUUUAUCGGUGAUGGAUGGGGAUGCGUCUGAUUAGCUUGUUGGCGGGGUAACGGCCCACCAAGGCAACGAUCAGUAGGGGUUCUGAGAGUAAGGUCCCCCACAUUGGAACUGAGACACGGUCCAAACUCCGACUGGAGUCAGCAGUGAGGAAUAUGGGUCAAUGCGCGAGAGCCUGAACCAGCCAAGUAGCGUGCAGGAAGACUGCCCUAUGGGUUGUAAACUGCUUUUAUAAGGGAAUAAAGUGAGAGUCGUGACUCUUUUUGUAUGUACCUUAUGAAUAAGGACCGGCUAAUUCCGU
rnacentral:rRNA from 1 species